rnacentral:sRNA from 1 species
AAGCAAGAUUAGUUUAGUACCCGUAGUUCCACUCUGCGCAAACAUAUGGUCCUAUGCGAAGAACUCCAUACAUUCCUUCAUUUUGAAUGGUUUUCAAGAACCGAAUAAGAUCUAGAUUUCCAGAGAAAUCAUAUUGACGACGAGUAGGUUCAUGUGCAUUCCAAAAAACAUAAGUCUCGAUCGCAUCAAGACUUCCUUCUUUGCCCUUCUUUAUAAGAUCCGGCCACAUCUAAAUGUGACAAAGUAACAACAAAAUAAACGCAGUUAAUUAAUAAUCUUAUUAUGCUAAAUAUAUAUAAUAGAUUAACCAUUAACGUAGAUGUAAGUUACCUCAGUGGUGCUUCUAGGAUAAUGGAUAGAACCAGAGAGAAGAACUCGACGAUGACCAUCAAUAGUGAUGGCACGACCAUCAUGAGAGACGAUUGUGGCGUAUGCACAACUACUUACUAAAACACAACACAAAAUAAAACUUAGAGAAACCAUUGUUGUUAUGUAGAAUUUUCUUUUU